rnacentral:rRNA from 1 species
CCGGGUGAGUAACACGUGACUACCUACCUUUUAGUGGGGGAUAACUCCGGGAAACCGGAGCUAAUACCGCAUAACAUCGCAAGAUCAAAGCAGCAAUGCGCUGGAAGAGGGGGUCGCGGCUGAUUAGCUAGUUGGUGAGGUAAUGGCUCACCAAGGCGAAGAUCGGUAUCCGGCCUGAGAGGGCGCACGGACACACUGGAACUGAAACACGGUCCAGACUCCUACGGGAGGCAGCAGUGGGGAAUUUUGCGCAAUGGGGGAAACCCUGACGCAGCAACGCCGCGUGGAGGAUGAAGGCCCUUGGGUCGUAAACUCCUUUCGACCGGGACGAUACUGACGGUACCGGUGGAAGAAGCACCGGCUAACUCUGUGCCAGCAGCCGCGGUAAUACAGAGGGUGCGAGCGUUGUUCGGAGUUAUUGGGCGUAAAGGGCGCGUAGGCGGUGCGGUAAGUCACCUGUGAAACCUCUGGGCUUAACUCAGAGCCUGCAGGCGAAACUGCCGUGCUGGAGGGUGGGAGAGGUGCGUGGAAUUCCCGGUGUAGCGGUGAAAUGCGUAGA